GACGAACGCUGGCGGCGUGCUUAACACAUGCAAGUCGAACGGGCCUGUCUUCUUUUUUGGGGGUGGGUUGAGUGGCGAACGGGUGAGUAUCACGUGAGUAACCUGCCCUUCGGUCCUGGAUAACCGCUUGAAAGGGCGGCUAAUACGGGGUGGUCCGGGUGGUCCGCAUGGGCUGGUCGGGAUAGAUUCACUGUUUUUGGUGUUUCGGCGGGGGAUGGGCUCGCGGCCUAUCAGCUUGUUGGUGGGGUGAUGGCCUACCAAGGCGGUGACGGGUAGCCGGGCUGAGAGGGUGGGCGGCCACACUGGGACUGAGAUACGGCCCAGACUCCUGCGGGAGGCAGCAGUGGGGGGUAUUGCACAAUGGGCGGAAGCCUGAUGCAGCGACGUCGCGUGAGGGAUGGAGGCCUUCGGGUUGUGAACCUCUGUUUCCGGUGGUGAAGGCCCUGUCCGUGUGGUGGGGUUGACGGUAGCCGGGGAUGAAGCGCCGGCUAACUACGUG
rnacentral:rRNA from 1 species